rnacentral:rRNA from 1 species
UACGUAGGGUGCGAGCGUGUCCGGAAUUAUUGGGCGUAAAGAGCUCGUAGGCGGUUUGUUGCGCGGCUUGUGAAAUCCCGAGGCUCAACCUCGGGUCUGCAGUCGAUACGAGCAAACUAGAGUGUUGCAGGGGAGACUGGAAUUCCUGGUGUAGCGGUGAAAUGCGCAGAUAUCAGGAGGAACACCGGUGGCGAAGGCGGGUCUCUGGGCAACAACUGACGCUGAGGAGCGAAAGCGUGGGGAGCGAACAGG